CGGCUAGUGAAGCGGCAAAAGCUCAAAUUUGGAAUCUCAGUCUUUCAGGCUGCGAGUUGUAAUUUGAAGACGUAUUUUGAAGUAAGCACAUGUCGAAGUUCCUUGGGAACAGGACGUCACAGAGGGUGAGAAUCCCGUGCGAUGUGUUCACUGCUUCGUGUAAAAUGCAGUCGAAGAGUCGAGUUGUUUGGGAAUGCAGCUCUCAGUGGGUGGUAAAUUCCAUCUAAAGCUAAAUAUUGGCGAGAGACCGAUAGCGAACAAGUACAGUGAUGGAAAGAUGAAAAGAACUUUGAAAAGAGAGUGAAAAAGUACGUGAAAUUGUUGAAAGGGAAGGGCUUGAGAUCAGACUCGGGCAACCGGGCCAGCAUGGGGUGGGAGAGUAGGAUAACCCUGCAGGAAAGUGGCUUCGCUUCGGUGGAGUGUUAUAGCCUGUAGCUAUACUGCUACUCUCGCCCGAGGACUGCGGAAACAAGGAUGCUGGCAUAAUGAUCUUAAGCCGCCCGUCUAA
rnacentral:rRNA from 1 species